AGAUGUGAGGGUGAUCUGGCUGGGACAACUGUUGCCCCAUUGAUCGCGCCAAGGUUGAUUUGGCAGAUCUGGUUGGCCAGGAGAGUGUCCCCUUCCCCACUCACCACUUUGUGUGUGUCCCUGCCAAAGCUGUGUUCUGGUCGAAGAGGAAGACCACCUCCAUAUAGGAGGACUGUUUCCUUGGUCAAGGGUAUACAAGUAGCUGUGCUCCCCUGCUAGAACCUCCAAAUAAGCUUUAAAAAACACCUAGACAUUGUAAAUAUUUUAUCAUUUUAUGGGAGUGUUCACUGGAGUGAUAAUCUUGAUUGAAUUUCAGAGGCAUGGCUGUUACUG
rfam:Heterocephalus glaber contig95581, whole genome shotgun sequence.